rnacentral:rRNA from 1 species
AUAGCUCAAAUUUGAAAUCUGGCGAAAGCCCGAGUUGUAAUUUGUAGAGGAUGCUUUUGGCAGAGCCGCGGGUUCAAGUGCCCUGGAAUGGGUUGCCAUCAUAGAGGGUGAGAGUCCCGUAUGUCGGCUCGCGGUAGACGCCAGUCAAAGCUCCUUCGACGAGUCGAGUUGUUUGGGAAUGCAGCUCUAAUUGGGAGGUAAAUUCCUUCUAAAGCUAAAUAUGGGCCAGAGACCGAUAGCGAACAAGUAGAGUGAUCGAAAGAUGAAAAGUACAGUGAAAACUGGGUGAAAUAGUACGUGAAAUUGUUGAAAGGGAAGCGCUUGCAAUCAGACAUUGCAGCAACGGGCUGAACCUUGUGUUCAUAAGUUGCUUGUGGGCUAGCAUCAGUUUGAGUGGUGGUAGAAAGGCGAGGGGAAUGUGGCUCGGGUGGGUUUGCGCCCAGAUCGAGUGUUUAUAGCCCCUCGCGCCAUGCCACCUACCUAGACUGAGGGUUUGCGCGGGGUUUCCCCGC